UGAGGAAUAUUGGACAAUGGGCGAGAGCCUGAACCAGCCAAGUCGCGUGAGGGAAGACGGUCCUAUGGAUUGUAAACCUCUUUUGCCGGGGAGCAAAGAGCGGCACGUGUGCCGCGCCGAGAGUACCCGGAGAAAAAGCAUCGGCUAACUCCGUGCC
rnacentral:rRNA from 1 species